AUACGGAGGAUGCGAGCGUUAUCCGGAUUUAUUGGGUUUAAAGGGUGCGUAGGUGGUAGUUUAAGUCAGCGGUGAAAGUUUGUCGCUCAACGAUAAAAUUGCAGUUGAUACUGGUUUCCUUGAGUACGGUACAGGUGGGCGGAAUUCGUGUUGUAGCGGUGAAAUGCUUAGAUCUCACGAAGAACUCCGAUCGCGAAGGCAGCUCACCGGGCCGGAACUGACACUGAUGCUCGAAAGUGCGGGUAUCAAACAGGAUUAAAUACCCUGGUAGUCCGCACAGUAAACGAUGAAUACUCGCUGUUUGCGAUACACUGUAAGCGGCCAAGCGAAAGCGUUAAGUAUUCCACCUGGGGAGUACGCCGGCAACGGUGAAACUCAAAUGAAUUGACGGGG
rnacentral:rRNA from 1 species